AUACGUAGGUGACAAGCGUUAUCCGGAUUUACUGGGCGUAAAGGGCGUGUAGGCGGUCUUGCAAGUCAGAAGUGAAAUUCCUGAGCUCAACUCGGGCGCUGCUUCUGAAACUGCAGGACUUGAGUGCUGGAGGGGAUAGCGGAAUUCCUAGUGGAGCGGUAAAAUGCGCAGAUAUUAGGAAGAACACCGGUGGCGAAGGCGGCUAUCUGGACAGUAACUGACGCUGAGGCGCGAAAGCGUGGGGAGCAAACAGGAUUAGAUACCCUGGUAGUCCACACUGUAAACGAUGAAUGCUAGGUGUAGUGGGUAUCGACCCCUUCUGUGCCGCAGUAAACACAAUAAGCAUUCCGCCUGGGGAGUACGGUCGCAAGAUUAAAACUUAAAUGAAUUGGCGGGG
rnacentral:rRNA from 1 species